AAUUCGCACCCACCCACGCGUGGCAGGAGCGGGGGACCCAGGUAGUACGCCGACCCCGGAAUUCCGGGACCGGCUCGGGGUGAAGUCGCGUCCACGGCGCGGCCGGACAACUCCAGUCCGAACCCGACAGCUCACCUCGCAGGCGCCGGAGAGGAAUU
rnacentral:sRNA from 2 species